AAUGAGAAAACGGUCUUUCUGUUUGGGUUUUAUUUCAUAGCUUUAAUUUACCCUAUUUUUAUUUCCCCUUCCCCUGUUCCUGCGCGAGUUUUCCUUAUAAAAUAAAAACGGAGGUUUCCUCUGCUCCGUUAAUGGGUCAGUCAGCGAAUCCCUCAUUUCUUCGUUGGGACUUUUUCCAAACAUUUUGUUCCACCAACCCUCCCCACACCUGCUUCUCUGUUGGUGCUUUUCGAUCCGGCUCCAAUUAUUCCCAGACUGCAGGGUGUAAUACCGGAAAGGCGGCCGAAAGGGGAGCAGGGGGUCCUUUCCCGGGAAAUGGAGGAGCCCUCCUCUUUUGAAAGUUACCAGACUUGGAAGGUGAACGGUCGUUCAGAUUUGUGCGUUUCGAAAGGGGAUCGCAGCUGCAAGGAUCCCAGUCCAGUCACCGCUUCGGCGGCCUGGCAGCCUUCCGGUUCCUUGCCUAUGUGUCUCCCUCGUUGGCUUUUCCCUCUUAUCUUAACGGGCACCCAAACUGAUGCAGUGCUGGUCAGGAAAGUGACUGGAAAUUAAAAGAACUUAUUCCCUCUGAGUCGAACUGAGCCAUUUGUGUCCAGUGUCGGCCGGUUUUUCCGACCCGCCGCAAACCCGAAUUUCGGCGAGCGCGAGUUUUGGGCGAGAGACGAAAUAGGAGAAGCUCUCCAGUAGUACAAGGUGCUGGGAGUUGUGCCAUGCUUUCACUCCCAGUGAAUGAAAAACGUGCAUCAUCAUGAUAAGAGGGUGGCUGUGGAACCCUGGAAGGGAAGCCAAAUGGAGCCUGCAUGCCCUGGGCUAUCCUGGUUUGUGAGUAAAGAACAAAUCCUAAUAUGUCAAUGACGACAAGGUUUUCUUGAGCUGGUAUCUGGUGUCUUCCUGACUACUUGUUCCCAACAGCAGUCAUUGUGAAUGGACAAGGACCCCAGUUCACAGGAGGAAACCUUAUCUUUCUUUCAUAUACAUGUUUAUAACCCUCUUGUCAUGACACACAGGUGGCAGACAUCUUAAAUACAGGCCAGAAAGGAAUAUUGUUAUUUUGUCAUUCUUGCAUUUACCGCCAAGCAACAUAUUUGUGCCUCCAACCCUGUGGUGAAAUGCAUUUUUUUUUACUACUGGUUCUGUGGGCGUGGCUUGGUGGGUGCGGCAGGGGAAGGAUA